GUUGAGCUCUAGAAUAUUCCCUGGUGUGCCAAGGGGACUUUGAAAUUCUCUGGGGCACCUCAAUUCUUUCCCAAGUAUCACUAGCUAUAUGGGAUAAUGGCAGAACCUGAGGAUGGGAGGUACAAGGGAUUCCCUCUGUAAACAGAUGGUCAGGAACCUGACUUCUCCCUGACGCUGCUUGAAGCUCUGACACUGGGCCUCAUACUUGGGCUGAGACAGUGGGUGUGUGCUUCAGAAGAAUCCUGGUCUCAUUGUCACAAGGAGAGAACCAACUCCUGCCCCAGUCUCAACACACCUGAUUCUCAGUUGGAGCUGCCGGCUGCAGCAGGGGACCCCACCUGGCCAGCAUUGUCAUCCUUUGGUCAUGCUGGAUGUUCAAGGAUGCUCCUGUGAUCAAUCCCGUUGAGACUGCAAAGGCUGGGUCCAUCUUGAACCAUAUGAAAAUAAAAUAUGCCUUUUAUUUUUCCUACUAGACUUGAAUCUUGUAAAAAUUAAGGCUUUGCCUGCUAGGGUCACUGUAAGUUGUAGGUAUGUUCUACCUGAAAGGGAGACACCACAGAAGAAAACUGAAGCAAGAAAAGAAGACAAAUCAACUCCCGAUAAUGUGAUGUGAGGUGUGAGGUCCUUGCAGGCUCAAAGAAGUUUCUAACUGGUUCUCUUUGUAAUCACCAGAGCCAAUUCACAUCUUUUUUUUUCCCCCAAGCUUAUUUGAAUUGAAGUCUUCUGUCACUUGGAAUUUCAGAAGCCCUGACAAAUAAAAUGGUUCAUUAAUUGAAUCGGCUAUAUCACAAUUCAAAUGGUGGCCUGACAACAUAUCUGCAGAUAUCAAAAUUCUACCAUAAUAAUUAGACUAUAAAUGGUGUUUAGUCCUAUUUUCAGUAUUCUCAAAAGUGCUGUCUUAGAAAUUAAGCCACCGCUUUUUCUGCACAAGAAUUCCUUUCAUGCCAUCCCAGCAAAUCUGCCUCUAUGCGCUCAGAUGCAGAACUGGUUCUGAAUUGUGCAAAGAGCCACUAUUGCCAGCUCUGCUCCAUUUUUUUUCUGGCAGCCCCAGCGUCCAAUCAAGAUUUCUGGAUCUUUUCCAAUUAUAACACCAUUUGGAAAUACUCAGCAUUUUCCAGCCUUGAAUAAUGUAUUGAUCUCUUUAAAGUAGAAAAUAUUCUCACAGACCCCCAAUGUUGACUUCAAUUCUUUUUAUUGUAAUUUUACUUAAAUAUAUAUGCAAACAUAAAACACUACAAACUGUUAGGCUUAUAGCUUUUAGACAACUAUAAAAAUAAACUUACAGAACAGAUAUAAUAUAAACUACAAAACCAAUGAAAUGGAAACGAGCUACAUUAGCUUACCAGGACAGAGCAGAGAGUAUUCCCGAAGCUCCAUGCCUGCUCAGCUUGGGAGGCCAAUGUUUCUAAUUACUCUUGAGUUCUGAGCUCAGCAUUGUCAGAGGAUUCCUGCCUAGCGGGGCCAGGAUUCUCCAACAUUUUUCUGUAUUUAGAUUAUUUCAAUGCUUCAUUAGCAUGGCUUCCCAUAAAGUCACUGGCCUCUACUUAACAUAACUGUAGCUGUUAUUUAUGAAGACUCUCUGCUGUGUCUUAUUGAAUCUGUGACUAUUAAAAUUGUACCAAAAGCAGUAUCAGCAUAAUAAUAAACAUUUGAACUGUGAGAAACAAAAUCACAUGAUGGCCCUCAGCAAGGUGAUCAUCUAAAGAUCUAAAAGAUGCUUAUGUAAUUUUAAACCAACUUUAUUGAGGAAUAGUUUACAUACAAUAAAAUGUACAGACUUUAUAUGCUUGGAUGAAUUUUGACAAAUAUAUACAUUUGUAACAAACACACCAAUCAAAAUAUACAUUGUUACCCCUCAGUAACUUUCCUGUUGUCGAUUUCAGUCAAUAUCCUAUCUGACUGCCAUGAAAGUUGUCAGAAUCAAAAUGGAGUCACUAAUGUUAAGAAACCACUGACAAAUAGAGCUGGGAAAGGCUAUGAAUAGAGACUUCUCAUGCUUGUAUGCCUGAUAACAAAAAAGGCUACAAAAACCAAAACUUUGCACAAAGGCUAUCACAACCCUACACAAAAAAUCUUCCAGGACAUCUGUCCAGCAACUGCCUGUCCAGCCUCUGGCUGGUGUCACCCUUGCUAUUGAUCUUUGUAGUCAAAGAUAAUUAUUUAAAAGCAAUUAUGAAAUUCUUCUCAUUUUCCCUUUAAAAUCCUUAGUUUUCCCUUACCUCCCUGAAUACACACAUAGUUUAGUAUGACAUGUCUACUCCCACUGCAAUGCCCUAUUCCUGGAUAAAUAUCUUUUCUUUUAGAGAGCCUGACUCUGCUUGUUUUUUAGGUUGAUACUGCCAAACCAACCCUUCACACACCCAAUAUCAGAAAAUCACUUCCAUUUUGCUCAAGGACUUCCUAUACAUGGAAUCACAUAGCAUCAUAUAGUCUCUUUUGUGUCGUCUUUCACUCAAUACUAUGUUUUUGAGAUCUAUUCAUGUGAUUAUGUACAUUAGGAAACUGUUCAUUUUUCUUGCUAAGUAGUGUCACAUUGUAUGGCUCUUCAAAAGUUUGUUUCUCCAUUCACCUGUUAAUGACAUUUGGGUUGUUUUUGGGCUUUGGUUAUUGGGAAUAAACUGAUAUGUCUUCCUGUGGGUUUAUGCUCUCUGAGAAGUGUAAUUGCUGUAUGUAUGGUAUAUAUAUAUAACCCUAUAAGAAAUUACUGAAUUACUUUCCAAAAUGUCUGGCCAUGUGCUGUACUUCUACCAGCAGUAUUUGAGAAUUCCCAUUGUUCUACUUCCUUGCCAAUAUUGAUGUUAUUAAUCUUUUUGAAUUUUAGCCAACCUAGUACAUGUGAAGUAGCAUCUCAGCUUACUUUUAAUUUGCCUUUGCCUUCUAACUAGCCAAUGUCAGACACUUUUUCAUGUGCUUUUGGCCUUUUGUAUAUAUUAUGUUGUAAGGAGUCUAUUUAUAAUUGCCUGUUUUUGAAUAAAAACAAAUUGAUUAUUUGUCUUUUUUCUUGAGUUUCUGGAGUUUAUGCAUUUUUUGGAGAGACAUCCUUAGAUAUAAAAAUUAUAAAUAUUUUCCCCCAUUUUCAUUGUUUUUAAUUUUUAUUUUGCUUAUUUCUUUAAUUAUUUAUUUAUUUAGUUUGAGACAGAGUCUCGCUCUGUCAUACAGUCUGAAGUACAGUGGUACAAUCUCGGCUCAUUGCAACUCCAUUUCCCAGGCUCAAGUGAUUCUCCUGCCUCAGCCUCCCGAGUAGCUGGGAUUACACG
rnacentral:lncRNA from 1 species